UUCCUGGUGGUCCAGUGGUUAAGACUCUGCUUCCACCGCAGGGGGACUAGGUUCAAUUCCUGGUCAGGGAA
rnacentral:tRNA from 1 species